GAACGCUGGCGGAAUGCUUUACACAUGCAAGUCGAACGGUAGAGGGGCAACCCUUGAGAGUGGCGAACGGGUGAGUAAUAUAUCGGAACGUGCCCAGUCGUGGGGAUAACGUAGCGAAAGUUACGCUAAUACCGCAUACGAUCUACGGAUGAAAGCGGGGGACUCGCAAGAGCCUCGCGCGAUUGGAGCGGCCGAUAUCAGAUUAGGUAGUUGGUGAGGUAAAGGCUCACCAAGCCAACGAUCUGUAGCUGGUCUGAGAGGACGACCAGCCACACUGGAACUGAGACACGGUCCAGACUCCUACGGGAGGCAGCAGUGGGGAAUUUUGGACAAUGGACGCAAGUCUGAUCCAGCCAUUCCGCGUGCAGGAUGAAGGCCCUCGGGUUGUAAACUGCUUUUGUACGGAACGAAAAGGUUUCUAUUAAUACUAGGAGCUCAUGACGGUACCGUAAGAAUAAGCACCGGCUAACUACGUG
rnacentral:rRNA from 1 species